UUGGAUAUAGCUCAGUGGUAGAGCACUUGCCAAGCAGGCCCAAGGCCCAGGGUUCACUUCCCAGUGUCUCAA
rfam:Fukomys damarensis contig125338, whole genome shotgun sequence.